rnacentral:rRNA from 1 species
GAUGAACGCUAGCGGCAGGCCUAACACAUGCAAGUCGAGGGGUAGUCUCGUUUCGACGAGAUGAGACCGGCGCACGGGUGCGUAACGCGUAUGCAAUCUACCUUUUACAGAGGGAUAGCCCAGAGAAAUUUGGAUUAAUACCUCAUAGUAUAUAUCAUUCGCAUGUUUGGUAUAUUAAAGUUCCAACGGUAAAAGAUGAGCAUGCGUCCCAUUAGUUAGUUGGUAAGGUAACGGCUUACCAAGACGAUGAUGGGUAGGGGUCCUGAGAGGGAGAUCCCCCACACUGGUACUGAGACACGGACCAGGCUCCUACGGGAGGCAGCAGUAGGGAAUAUUGGGCAAUGGACGCAAGUCUGACCCAGCCAUGCCGCGUGCAGGAUGAAGGCGUUAUGCGUUGUAAACUGCUUUUAUACAGGAAGAAACGACUCUUGCGAGAGGCAUUGACGGUACUGUAUGAAUAAGCACCGGCUAACUCCGUGCCAGCCGCCGCUGUAA